GACGAACGCUGGCGGCGUGCUUAACACAUGCAAGUCGAACGGAAAGGCCCUGCUUUUGUGGGGUGCUCGAGUGGCGAACGGGUGAGUAACAAGUGAGUAACCUGCCCUUGACUUUGGGAUAACUUCAGGAAACUGGGGCUAAUACCGGAUAGGAGCUCCUGCUGCAUGGUGGGGGUUGAAACGUUUCGGCGGUUGGGAAUGGACUCGCGGCUUAUCAGCUUGUUGGUGGGGUAGUGCCGUACCAAGGCUUUGACGGGUAGCCGGCCUGCGAGGGUGACCGGCCACAUUGGGACGGAGAUACGGCCCAGACUCCUACGGGAGGCAGCAGUGGGGAAUAGUGCACAAUGGGCGGAAGCCUGAUGCAGCAACGCCGCGUGCGGGAUGACAGCCUUCGGGUUGUAAACCGCUUUCGCCUGUGACGAAGCGUGAGUGACGGUAAUGGGUAAAGAAGCACCGGCUAACUACGUG
rnacentral:rRNA from 1 species